ACUUUAAAAGCUUAUAAAAGCAUUGGUCUUGUAAACCAAAGUCUGAGAAUCUCUUAAAGUA
rnacentral:tRNA from 1 species